AGAGUUUGAUCCUGGCUCAGAGGAACGCUGGCGGCAGGCCUAACACAUGCAAGUCGAGNNCCCCGCAAGGGGAGCGGCGGACGGGUGAGUAACACGUGGGAACGUGCCCUUCGGUUCGGGAUAACUCAGGGAAGCUUGAGCUAACACCGGAUACGCCCUUCGGGGGAAAGGUUACGCCGAAGGAUCGGCCCGCGUCUGAUUAGCUUGUUGGUGGGGUAAUGGCCCACCAAGGCUACGAUCAGUAGCUGGUCUGAGAGGAUGAUCAGCCACACUGGGACUGAGACACGGCCCAGACUCCUACGGGAGGCAGCAGUGGGGAAUCUUGCGCAAUGGGCGAAAGCCUGACGCAGCCAUGCCGCGUGAAUGAUGAAGGUCUUAGGAUUGUAAAAUUCUUUCAGCGGGGAAGAUAAUGACGGUACCCGCAGAAGAAGCCCCGGCUAACUUCGUGCCAGCAGCCGCGGUAAUACGAAGGGGGGCUAGCGUUGCUCGGAUUUACUGGGCGUAAAGGGCGCGUAGGCGGACGAUCAAGUUGGGGGUGAAAUCCCGGGGCUUAACCUCGGAACUGCCUCCAAAACUGAUCGUCUAGAGUUUGGGAGAGGUGUGUGGAACUCCGAGUGUAGAGGUGAAAUUCGUAGAUAUUCGGAAGAACACCAGUGGCGAAGGCGAACCUGGCCCAAUACUGACGCUGAGCGCGAAAGCGUGGGGAGCAAACAGGAUUAGAUACCCUAGUAGUCC
rnacentral:rRNA from 1 species